UACGGGGGGGGCAAGCGUUGUUCGGAAUUACUGGGCGUAAAGGGCGCGUAGGCGGCCAUGCGUGUCUUCCGUGAAAUCCCUCGGCUUAACUGAGGACGUGCGGAAGAAACUGCAAGGCUUGAGUCCGGGAGAGGGGGGUGGAAUUCCCAGUGUAGCGGUGAAAUGCGUAGAUAUUGGGAGGAACACCGGUGGCGAAGGCGGCCCCCUGGACCGGUACUGACGCUGAGGCGCGAAAGCGUGGGUAGCAAACGGG
rnacentral:rRNA from 1 species